AUGCUCACUUCAGUAGCACAUAUACUAAAGUUAGAACGAUUCAGAGAAGAUUAGCAUGGCCUCUGAACAAGGAUGACAUGCAAAUUCGUGAAGCAUUCCAUAUUUUA
ensembl:snRNA U6 U6 spliceosomal RNA